GGGGAUUUGGGGACAUUUUGGGAACAGUUUGGGGCAUUUUGGGGACAUUUGGGGACAUUUUGGGAACAUUUUGGGAACAUUUUGGGGACAUUUGGGGAGAUUUGGGGACAUUUGGGGACAUUUUGGGAACAUUUUGGGGACAUUUGGGGACAUUUUGGGGGAUUUUGGGAAAUUUUGAGGGGAUUUGGGGACAUUUGGGGACAUUUUUGGGACAUUUGGGACAUUUGGGGACACAUUUGGGGACAUUUUGGGGACAUUUGGGGACAUUUUGGGGGAGAUUUGGGGACAUUUGGGGACAUUUGGGGACAUUCUGGGGACAUUUGUGGUCAUUUUGGGGGGAGAUUUGGUGACAUUCUGGGGACAUUUGGGGCAAUUUUGGGGGGAUUUGGGGAAUUUGGGGACAUUUGGGACAUUUGGGAACAUUUGGGGACAUUUGGGACAUUUGGGGACAUUUUUGGGACGCCCUCCCCCAGCCGGCCGCCCCUCGGGCUCGGAGAACGUCCUGCAGGCCUUCAAGAGGACGUGAGUGGGGACCCCCCCAAAAAACCCCAAAAUCCCACCAGGGACACCCCAAAACCACCAAAAACCCAAAAUCCCACCUGGGUCACCCCAAAAACCCCAAAAUCCCACCAGGGACACCCCAAAACCACCAAAAACCCAAAAUCCCACCUGGGUCACCCCAAAAACCCCAAAAUCCCACCCGGGACACCCCAAAAACCCCAAAAUCUCACCCAGGACCCCAAAAACUCCCCCAGGACCCCCAAAAUUCCACCCGGGACCCCAAAAUCCCACCCGGGACACCCCAAAAACCCCAAAAACCCACCCAGGACACCCCAAAAACUUUCCCAGGACCCCCAAAAUCCCACCCGGGACACUCCAAAAACACUAAAAACCCAAAAUCCCACCUGGGUCACCCCAAAAACCCCAAAAUCCCACCUGGGUCACCCCAAAAACCCCAAAAUCCCACCCGGGUCACCCCAAAAACACCAAAAACUUACUUGGGACACCCCAAAAACCCCAAAAUCCCACCCAGGACACCCCAAAAACCCCCAAAAUCCCACCUGGGGACCCCAAAACCCCCAAAAUCCCACCCGGGACACCCCAAAAACCCCCAAAAUCCCACCUGGGACACCCCAAAAACACCAAAAUCUCACCCAGGGACCCCAAAAACCUCCCAGGACCCCAAAAACUCCAUAA
rnacentral:lncRNA from 1 species